rnacentral:tRNA from 1 species
UGCUGUGACAGGCACUUGGCCGGUUCCAAACACCCUCAUGGGGUGCAAGGGGUCGAAGGUUCGAAUCCUUUCACACCGACCA